GACCUGAGUCAACCUCAAGCUUCUGUGCAA
rnacentral:piRNA from 1 species